GUCCCCGUAGCUCAGCUGGAUAGAGCACUUCCCUCCUAAGGAAGGGGUCGGACGUUCGAAUCGUCUCGGGGACGCCA
rnacentral:tRNA from 11 species